UAUUACAGAUCAUGGUUUUGUGUCUCACCUUCUGCCUAACUAUGACAGCUUCAAUAAGAUGUGACAGGAUUUCAUGCCUUUGGUCUAUGGAGGUAUGGCUAUGUCUCAGGUUGCAAAAGCUUUUUUUUUGCAAUGAAAUAUUACUGCUGGUGACAAUGGACAGGUCUGAAAUGCAGCAUGUAAAAAGAAGAAGGGAAAGAAGAAGUGUGGAGGCAGUGUGCUCGGUAAAGGGAAGUGAGAGAAUCCAGCACAACAGCUGCUACCGCUCCUGCAAAGCCGUUCCCUGACAAAGUGCUCUGUUUGUCUCUAGGCCAGAAGAAAAGGACCGAAAAGAGGCCACAAAGAAAGAGAGAGAGAGAAAAAGAAAAAGCUUGAGAGAGAGAAAAGAGAGGCAAAGAAAGCCCCCUUCUGGCUCCCACUAACCCAUACACAUCUCUGACUGCUUUGCCCAGUCUCUCACUCUCACUUGGCAACUGAAGGCCUUCCACAAAGAAUUUCAGCUUUCGGCCAAAGACAAGGCCAGGAGGAGGCCGAACCCCUAGCAGACGAUCGGUUGCCACUGGACACCACUGAUCAGUAAGUAGCUUCCACCGCUUCGGAAAUUAGUUUUAAUGAUUUACUCUGAACAUAUAAAGUAUGAACAGUUUACACAAAAUAUACCGUAUGUAUGGUGUUCAGUGACUAAUGCUAAUGCAGAGUAAGAUGCUAAAAGGGUCUAUUGAGCACAUUCAUUUCCUCAGCUCAUUAGUAGUCACAAAAUCCCCUUUGCCUGCUGCACUGCUUUCUACACAUUCUCUGUUCCCUCUCUUAAACACACAUAGAACGAAGACAGAUUUGAUUUGGACUAAAGACUAUGGACAUAAGUAGAGCAGACCCAUAUUUACACACACACUGUAUUUUGCAUUGCUUGCACUUUUUUACCUACCAGAAACUUUUUUUAUUUACGAAAAUGGCAUAUUCUAGACUCUAGGCACAGAACAGAGAAGAAUGUUUUAAUGAAUAAAUGCCCUGUACUGAAGAGCAAAUAAUGGUUUAAUUUGCUGAUAGUUUGCAGCCACAUACAAAGACCAAGAGAGAAAAAAAACUGUAAGUGAACUACAUGUUCUUCUCCAGAACUGGAUUUCUCCCUCAUUUCUCUGCUUUUAUCUCUGUCUUAGGAGAGGCAUUCAUCUAUAAACCGAACACAUCCCUUAACCCACAACUAAUCAUCCAUAUUUUUCAGCUCUUUUUUUCUUUACCAUCAGAACACUGAUGGGCCAAAGCCACAGGCGUGCAGGAGAACCUGAUAGUCGUGGAAGUGGAGCUGCUCACUCGUUCUGGGUUGGAAUGCAUUUUUGCAGUGCUGCAAUUUUUUGCCAUAUCAGGGGAAUGAUUGCAGCUCCCCUCUGGAACGAUCAGCUUCCAUAUUCGUUUAUAUAACACCCCCCCACACACGUGUGUGCUCACACACACACACACAGACACACACACACACACACACACACACACACACACACGCAUCUAUGCCUGUACAUGCACAUACUCCCUCACUCACACAUUUGCACACACCCAGAAAUCAAACCACCUCAGCAGAUUAAAUGUGCUUUAAAAAGCGACCACACACUCACAGAAAAUGACCGUUUCAAGCAGCCUGGCUUUCAGUUCCCCCAAUCCUGUCCAUCUAACAUUCCAUGAAAACCACAAUCAUCUUCACUUCACUGCCAUG